GACGUAGGAUGCAAGCGUUGUCCGGAUUUAUUGGGCGUAAAGAGUUCGUAGGUGGUUUGUUCAGUCUGAUGUUAAAGAUCGGGGCCCAACCCUGGGAGUGCAUUGGAUACUGGCAGACUUGAGUAUGGUAGAGGCAAGCGGAAUUCCCAGUGUAGCGGUGAAAUGCGUAGAUAUUGGGAAGAACACCGGUGGCGUAGGCGGCUUGCUGGGCCAUAACUGACACUGAGGAACGAAAGCCAGGGGAGCGAAUGGG
rnacentral:rRNA from 1 species